AUAAUGACUCUCGGCAACGGAUAUCUAGGCUCUUGCAUCGAUGAAGAACGUAGCGAAAUGCGAUACUUGGUGUGAAUUGCAGAAUCCCGUGAACCAUCGAGUCUUUGAACGCAAGUUGCGCCCGAAGCUAUUUGGUUGAGGGCACGUCUGCCUGGGCGUCACAU
rnacentral:rRNA from 1 species